GCCCCCAUAGCUCAAUGGAUAGAGCACCUGCCUUCUAAGCAGGGGAUUACAGUUCGAUUCUGUAUGGGGGUA
rnacentral:tRNA from 1 species